rnacentral:rRNA from 1 species
UACAGAGGGGGCAAGCGUUGUUCGGAAUUACUGGGGCGUAAAGGGCGCGUAGGCGGCCUGUUAAGUCGAACGUGAAAUCCCCGGGCUCAACCCGGGAACUGCGUCCGAUACUGGCAGGCUUGAAUUCGGGAGAGGGAUGCGGAAUUCCAGGUGUAGCGGUGAAAUGCGUAGAUAUCUGGAGGAACACCGGUGGCGAAGGCGGCAUCCUGGACCGAGAUUGACGCUGAGGCGCGGAAAGCCAGGGGAGCAAACGGGG